UACGUAGGGGGCAAGCGUUGUCCGGAUUCAUUGGGCGUAAAGAGCGUGUAGGCGGCCAGGUAGGUCGGUUGUGAAAACUGGAGGCUCAACCUUCAGACGUCGACCGAAACCAUCUGGCUAGAGUCCGGGAGAGGAGAGUGGAAUUCCUGGUGUAGCGGUGAAAUGCGCAGAUAUCAGGAAGAACACCCGUGGCGAAAGCGGCUCGCUGGGACGUUACUGACGCUGAGACGCGAAAGCGUGGGGAGCAAACAGG
rnacentral:rRNA from 1 species